rnacentral:rRNA from 1 species
CAGUCGUACCGGCGGAUAAUCAGCCUUUCGGGUGCGAUUCUGUGGGGCGUGAAGAGUUUAACCGCCUUCAUGUUUUGCAUAUUCGUGCACAUUUGGUGUACUUGUCCGUGUGGUGGGUUAACAUCAAUUUCGGACGUCAUAAAAUGAUUGGAGGAAUGUAGCUUUGUUCUCGUAUCGAAGUGUUAUAGCCUUUGGUAGAUGUGACGAUUGGGGAUUGAGGAUUGCAACGGGAUACCCCCUCGGGGUUACCCGUCUUGAUCUCUGAAGGUUACUCCGGUGCUGAAAGCGUGC